rnacentral:tRNA from 1 species
UGGGGUUGUGGCUCAGUGGUAGAGUUCUCACCUAGCACCUGAGAGGCACUGGGUUGGGUCCUCAGCACCACAA